rnacentral:tRNA from 1 species
UGGCCAGUAGCUCAGUUCGGUAGAGCGCUCCGCUGUUAACGGAGUGGUCGCGGGUUCGAUGCCUGCCUGGCCAGCCA